rnacentral:snoRNA from 1 species
UGAUGAUGUUGAGGGAAAUUUCUGAGUAUACCCUUAAAUCUCUCCUAAGCUUGGUAGAGAUUCUCUCUUUUUUUCUGUCUGAAACUCAAGAUCUCACUUCUCAAGUA